rnacentral:rRNA from 1 species
UACAGAGGGUGCGAGCGUUGUCCGGAAUCACUGGGCGUAAAGGGCGCGUAGGCGGCCUGAUAAGUAGGGGGUGAAAUCCUGUGGCUUAACUGCAGGGCUGCCUCCUAGACUGUUAGGCUCGAGCACGGUAGAGGCAGAUGGAAUUCCCAGUGUAGCGGUGAAAUGCGUAGAUAUUGGGAGGAACACCAGUGGCGAAGGCGGCUCACUGGACUGGUACUGACGCUGAGGCGCGAAAGCGUGGGGAGCAAACAGG